rnacentral:rRNA from 1 species
AUUGAACGCUGGCGGCAGGCCUAACACAUGCAAGUCGAACGGUAACAGGAAGAAGCUUGCUUCUUUGCUGACGAGUGGCGGACGGGUGAGUAAUGUCUGGGAAACUGCCUGAUGGAGGGGGAUAACUACUGGAAACGGUAGCUAAUACCGCAUAACGUCGCAAGCCCAAAGAGGGGGACCUUCGGGCCUCUUGCCAUCGGAUGUGCCCAGAUGGGAUUAGCUAGUAGGUGGGGUAACGGCUCACCUAGGCGACGAUCCCUAGCUGGUCUGAGAGGAUGACCAGCCACACUGGAACUGAGACACGGUCCAGACUCCUACGGGAGGCAGCAGUGGGGAAUAUUGCACAAUGGGCGCAAGCCUGAUGCAGCCAUGCCGCGUGUAUGAAGAAGGCCUUCGGGUUGUAAAGUACUUUCAGCGGGGAGGAAGGGAGUAAAGUUAAUACCUUGACUCAUUGACGUUACCCGCAGAAGAAGCACCGGCUAACUCCGUG